CUCAGGAUGAACGCUAGCGACAGGCUUAACACAUGCAAGUCGAGGGGCAGCGGUGGUGAAGGCUUGCCUUUACCAGCCGGCGACCGGCGCACGGGUGAGUAACACGUAUGCAACCUGCCUGCCACAGCCGGAUAAUCGGGAGAAAUUCCGUCUAAUACGGCAUAAUGCAUCGACGGGACAUCCUGUUGGUGCCAAAGGUUGAUUCCGGUGGCGGAUGGGCAUGCGUCGCAUUAGUUAGUUGGCGGUGUAACGGACCACCAAGACGACGAUGCGUAGGGGUUCUGAGAGGAAGGUCCCCCACACUGGUACUGAGACACGGACCAGACUCCUACGGGAGGCAGCAGUGAGGAAUAUUGGUCAAUGGGCGGGAGCCUGAACCAGCCAAGUCGCGUGAGGGAUGACGGCCCUAUGGGUUGUAAACCUCUUUUGCCGGGGAGCAAAGUGCCGCACGUGUGCGGUUUGGAGAGUACCCGGAGAAAAAGCAUCGGCUAACUCCGUGCCAGCAGCCGCGGUAAUACGGAGGAUGCGAGCGUUAUCCGGAUUUAUUGGGUUUAAAGGGUGCGUAGGCGGACGCUUAAGUCAGCGGUAAAAUUGCGGGGCUCAACCUCGUCGAGCCGUUGAAACUGGGUGCCUUGAGUGGGCGAGAAGUACGCGGAAUGCGUGGUGUAGCGGUGAAAUGCAUAGAUAUCACGCAGAACUCCGAUUGCGAAGGCAGCGUACCGGCGCCCAACUGACGCUGAAGCACGAAGGCGUGGGUAUCGAACAGGAUUAGAUACCCUGGUAGUCCACGCAGUAAACGAUGAAUGCUAGUUGUCCGGGGCGAUUGAGUUCUGGGUGACACAGCGAAAGCGUUAAGCAUUCCACCUGGGGAGUACGCCGGCAACGGUGAAACUCAAAGGAAUUGACGGGGGCCCGCACAAGCGGAGGAACAUGUGGUUUAAUUCGAUGAUACGCGAGGAACCUUACCCGGGCUCAAACGCAGGAGAGAUGUUUUUGAAAGGAGGCAGCCAGCAAUGGUCUCCUGCGAGGUGCUGCAUGGUUGUCGUCAGCUCGUGCCGUGAGGUGUCGGCUUAAGUGCCAUAGCGAGCGCAACCCCUACCUACAGUUGCCAUCGCGUGAUGGCGGGCACUCUGUGGGGACUGCCUGCGCAAGCAGUGAGGAAGGCGGGGAUGACGUCAAAUCAGCACGGCCCUUACGUCCGGGGCGACACACGUGUUACAACGGCAGGUACAGCGGGAAGCCACCCGGCGACGGGGCGCGGAACCCGAAAACCUGUCUCAGUUCGGAUUGGAGUCUGCAACCCGACUCCAUGAAGCUGGAUUCGCUAGUAAUCGCGCAUCAGCCACGGCGCGGCGAAUACGUUCCCGGGCCUUGUACACACCGCCCGUCAAGCCAUGGAAGCCGGGGGUGCCUGAAGUGCGUGACCGCAAGGAGCGCCCUAGGGUAAAACCGGUGACUGGGGCUAAGUCGUAACAAGGUA
rnacentral:rRNA from 1 species